CACGACGCUUUUCCUCCGCCUGCGCCGCCGUUCAUCGUCCGCGUGCGCUACCGACGAGGACCCCCAAAAAUGCGAAGCGGCUCGCACUCCAGACGAAGCAGCGACGCUUAUGUGCCGUGCAGGCCGGUGAGUGGGCUCCCUCCACACCGUCCUACUAUUCGUACAUCCGCCGGAAGACCAUGCCCAUUAUCGGAAGAACCGGCUCUCCUUCCGGUCGUCUUUGUUGGCAUUCUGCGGCGGCAGGGUGCGUUUGGAACGCAAGAGGAGGCCGACAAAGUCAGCGUCUCUAUGCAAGCAAUGAUACGAGGGAGGAAGCAGAGGAAUUCUCUGCGAUCUCCCAGUUUCAAAGCGGAUCGCCCGGAUGAAUAUCCAGAUUAUGAUCAACUACCCUGCGAAGCAAGGAGCCCCAUAUGAAUCCAUUCCUAACCUUGUGAUCUGCCAAAUCGCGCAGUACACAGUGCACUUGUCGGUUUGACUUGAUGUCUUAUCAAUUCCUAAGACAUGUCGGUAAUGUGAAGAAGCUUCGGGAGCUAAUUUAUGCAGCCCGUCUGAUCAAACCGGAUUAGCAGCGGUGGAAGAGCUAUUACAUUUUCCGUGAGCACUAACCUGAUCACUCCUUGCCGUCCAUAUCAAGCAGCUGAACUUUAAGUCUUUAACCAGCCUCCACUCAGAUACAUGUUUUCUUACCUUGAAGUUUCAUAUUGUGGGCUGAUCUGCGUUUGAGGUGGCUGGUAUAGGAGGACAAGUAAACAAUGAACACAAUGCAAAUCUCCUCUUCUUUCAGCUCUGCAGGAACUCUUUACUCAAUUCAGUUUCAGGUGACAAGCAUCCCAAGUUCCCAAUAGAAGGUUUUUGUUUGUAGAGAGGUCAAGCAUUAUGCUUUUGGCUAUGUGGGUAUGCAACUGAUUAGUCCAAUUCAUUGUGUUUUUUUUUCUCAGUGGUAAUGGAAUUUUUAUGUUUGGAAUAUCGACAAAGAUUUAGCCAUGGACAGGGGUGCGUGAAAGUUAGCUAUCCACGUUCCGGAACCAUGACUUGGCUUCGAGAUCUUAUGGGUUUCAA